rnacentral:rRNA from 1 species
GGGGAAAAGCUCAAAUUUUAAAUCUGCUAGGUUUUACCUAUCAGAAUUGUAAUUUGAAGAAGCGUUUUCACGUCUCAGUUAGCCCAAAUCCUUUGGGAUGAGGUAUCAUGGAGGGUGAGAAUCCCGU